GGUGGAAACUAUUCCGAAACACCAAGUAUCCAAGCUUGUAAGUGCCUAAUGAGAUUGGAAAGACUAGAGAGUGUAUCUCUUAGAGGUAACUAUUUCAACAAGAGUAUUAUAUCAUGCCUAAGUUUCCUCCCAUCCCUCAAUAUUCUUGAUCUUAGCGCUUAAUUUAGACUCGGAAGUUCUUUUCCAAUGCAAGAGUUAUCUUCCUUGAAAGAGUUAACAACACUUGACUUGAGAGGGUCCGGUCUUAAGUCACUCACAUUAAAUGGUUCCAUGAGCAACCUGCUGCACUUGAAUCUUGAGGGCAAUGAGUUUAGUGAUGACAUCAUGAG